CUUAGAAAGAGCUUUAGCUCAAUUAUACAACCUCUGGUACUGGGAACGUGGGCAUUUUUUUUUUCUCAAGGCUAUCCCUGAGCUGUGAAAUGGGAUGGAACUAGGGUGAGUUAAGGUAGCACAAAACUUGUUUUUACUGUGAUUUGGUAAUUUUUAUUGAAUACACACUCUCACACUGCUACAAGCCUUUGAUUUAUUUCCAGAGUUCUGAACAAUAUAUAUUUUUAUUUUUUAUUUUUUGCCAGCUUUUUCUUUGCUUUUGUGGAGGUUGUGGAGGGGCGAAAUUUCUAAGAUCCUCAUGCUGCCAUUUCUGCUGAUGCCAAUCAUUUCCGUUAAGGUUUGGAUAAGCCUCGAACCACAAGUGCACUGCAGUCUGAAUAGGCAUCAUAAUCCUCCAGGAAACUCUGAACGGCCUUGACACAGGGGACCCUGCUCAGCCAAACUCUGAUCCAAAGGAAGCCACCGCCGUCAUAUCCACAUCUAGCCAUACUUCGUUUGAAAGCUUCCCGGGCUCUGUGAGUGCUGGCUUUUGGGACCUAUUUUUGAGGGGAAAGAAUAUGGUCAUUGCUUCCUUCUGGAUACACUGAACCCUCGAUAAAGGACUUGGAGGUGGCUUGUGUGACUUUUACUGCUGAAGUAAAUAGGCUUUGUUUUAAGCCUGGUACCUAAUCAAUCCAGAACUUAGCUGUGUUUAUAUGCCACAGGGAAGUCAAAGCCAAUGCAUCUUGGAACUGACUGAAAGUAAAUGACCACUGUGUAGCUCCCUGUAUUAAUGCAUAAGGCCCUCUAGACUGAAAUAUACCAUGCAAAACAUGGCAUACAGAAAGACAUCUUGAAUAUUUCCUGUGACUAGUCAAGACCCUAUCAAGGAGGUGAUCAGUAUCAUCUGCACUCUAACUGAAUCUUGCAUUUAUACCCUAACUGAAACUUGCAUCCUUUUGUACACUGUUUCUCCUCUAUCUUUCUAGUUGGAACAUAUCCCUUAAUACACAGAUUUAGGGUUUAUCCUCAACAGUGUCAUUAGCUGACUGUCUAAUGGAAUCAACCUCUUUCUCUAUCUUUAUAUGAAAUUAUUUAUUUAUUUGGAUUUCCUCAUUAUCAGAAACAUACCCAUGCAAUUAUUUAAAGACUUGAUUUUGUCCUAAAUUAGGUAAAAUAGGAUAAUGAAAUGUGUAUCCAUAUGUAAUAAUCAAAUAGAGAACCCAAACCUAUUUGUAUCCAUAAUUUAAACAGAAUAAGUAAGGUAACUGCAUUAGUUUCCAAAUGCUGCUAUAACAAAUUUCUAAAAACUUAAUGGCUUAAAACAGCACAAAUUUAUUAUGUUACAGUUCUGAAAGUAAGGAGUCUAAAAUGAGUUUGCAAGGCUGCAUUCUUUCUGGAGGCUCUAAGGAAUAACCUGUGUUCCUGCCUUUUCCGGCUUUUAGAGGCUACUCACAUUUCUUAGCUUAUGGAUCUUUCCUCAUAUCACUCAGAUCUCUGCUUCUAUCAUCACCUCUCUUACUCAAACACCGACCCUCCUUCCUCUCUCUUAUAAGGAUGCUUGUGAUUAUGUUGGGCUUACCUAAACAAUACAGAUAAUCUCCACAUCUCAAAAUACUUAACAUUAUCACACCUAAAAAGUCCCUUCUACUGAGGUUAUAUAUUCACAGGUUUCUGGGACUGGGAUAUGAACACCUUCAGAGCUAUAUUCUGCCUACUACAAUAAGCAAUACCCAAGCUAGUAUUUUAUUUUGUGCCCGAGGAACUGUAUUUUCACAUCUCAUUUCAGCUAUGCUUGGUCAUUCUACAUCUUUAUCAUCCAAGGUGCAGAUGAAAUAAGAGUGUUUUGCUCUGUGGAAUAGUAGAAAGUGCAUUGGCUUUGGAGUCAGAAAGCCCUAUUUUCACACUCUGGCUUUUCCAUUGAGCCAACUGUAUGGCCAUGAACAAGACAUUUAACUUCUCUGAUCCCUGACCCUUUGAAUGUAGUGUGGUCCUCAAUAAAUGGUAGUUGCUUUAACAAAAUAAUAAUUAUUGUCAAAUUUCAAACCCCAGGCUCCCAGCUUUAUACCCAUUGUCUUUAUUCCUUCAAUGAGGGAGUCCCUUCUCUCGUCAUAUUUCCAGAAAUACUGUCAAUAUUCCUAUCAUGCUUUUCCCAAGUAAGGAAUGUGAACUCAAACCACUUUGUAAGUGUUGGAUCACACACUUCGGGCCAUGCCUUUCAUCCUGGCAGGAAGGCAGUGUGCAUGCUAUCCUGCCAGGCUCACUUGCUAUCCAGCCCAGUUCCUAAUACUCAUGAACCUUCCCAUGCUCUCCAACUCUUAGACGGAGAGAGCAUUUUUAUCUUUAACUCAUAUGAAUAAUGCUGGCAAAAUAAUUGCAGGUGAACAGUUAUUCCAAUUAACAGUGUUUUAAAGUCUAUAUUCUAAGAAGAGGAUUUACUAGAUUAUAAACUUAAUAUUGCUCAGAAAUAACAUUUCAUACACUUUAACGGUUUUUCUGCAAACUAUCCCCUAAAUUAUUACCCUCCCUACAAAAUAGAAUAUUAAUACAUGUUAGACCACUUUACUAGCAUUAAAGUGUUAUUAUUGUUAUUAAUUCAUUGUAAAAAAUGUUUUCAAUGUAGUAUUGUACCCUGUGGCUAUUUGUAUUUUCUAUCUGGCAAUUAUCUCCUUGUCUUUAUUUUUCUAGUGGAGUGUUUAUAAUUUUUCUUAUAGAUUAAUAGGAGCUAUUUACAUAGUAUUAGGCAUUGACUGCAUUGAAGGCCCAAUUCUUUGCCCUCCCUGUUUCCAGGGAACUGUCUUUCUGCCAUGUAACUUUGCAGUACCCUCCUACUCAGGAAAAUAUGUUAUUCUCACUCCUUAACAUGGUGAUCAAUUAUGUGACCUAUGUUGACAAAUGGCAUGCUAGCAAAUGUGAUACAGGCAGAUACUUGAAAACGCUUCUGCAUUUCUAUUGGUUUUCAUUUCUCUGCCAUUGCCGUGAGUAUUUAUCUUUGAUAGCCUCCUGGAUGAAAGACACGUGAAUACAACUGAAUCAUUCCCUAUCAUCCCAACCAAGUCUAUCCUGUAUUAAGUGACAGCCAGCCGGCUCUUAGUCUUGGGAGAGAGCCCAGACAAGAUCAGUAGAGCUGCCUCACUACCCCUCAGUUGACCACAGGCACAUAAAUGAGUCCAGAGGAGGUCAGCUAAAUCCCACGGACCUGUGAGCUAAAUAAAAUGUUAUUGCUUUUUGCCACUAAGAUUUUGUGGGUGGUUGUUAUGCAACAUUAUUGCAGCAAAAGCAACUGAUGUAUCUAUAAGGAUAUUCGGCACAUUCACACCCAGCCCUUUCCCAGUUUGUCACUAACCUCUUAAGUAUAUUUACAUAUUUUUAAAUAUAUAGGCUUAUACAUUUUCAUAUCAACUUGUGGUGAAAUAAGAAAUAUAUUUGGUGU
rnacentral:lncRNA from 1 species